rnacentral:rRNA from 1 species
UGAGGAAUAUUGGGCAAUGGACGCAAGUCUGACCCAGCCAUGCCGCGUGAAGGAUGAAGGUCCUCUGGAUUGUAAACUUCUUUUAUUGGGGAAGAAACCCUGGAUUUCUAUCUAGGUUGACGGUACCCAAGGAAUAAGCACCGGCUAACUCCGUGCCAGCAGCCGCGGUAAUACGGAGGGUGCAAGCGUUAUCCGGAUUCACUGGGUUUAAAGGGUGCGUAGGCGGGCUUUUAAGUCAGUGGUGAAAUCCCAGAGCUUAACUCUGGAACUGCCAUUGAUACUGAAAGUCUUGAAUAUCCUGGAGGUGGGCGGAAUAUGUCAUGUAGCGGUGAAAUGCUUAGAUAUGACAUAGAACACCAAUUGCGAAGGCAGCUCACUACGGGACGAUUGACGCUGAGGC